UUGAAGGAUAGCUCUGUUGGUAGAGCAUGAGACUCCUAAUCUCAGGGCCAUGGGUUUGAAGCCCCACAUUGAGCAAAA